AGGUGUAGUUGUAGGUGUAGUUGCAGAUGUAGUUGUAGGUGUAGUUGCAGUUGUUGGUGUAGGUGUAGUUGCAGUUGUUGGUGUAGUUGUAGGAGUAGGUGUAGUUGUAGGUGUAGUUGUUGGUGUAGGUGUAGUUGUAGGUGUAGUUGUAGGUGUAGACGUAGGUUUAGGUGUAGUUGCAGGAGUGGGUGUAGUUUUAGGUGUAGGUGUAGUUGUAGGUGUAGUUGUAGUUGUAGGUGUAGUUGUAGGUGUAGUUGUAGGUGUAGUUGUAGGUGUAAGUUUAGUUGUAGGUGUAGUUGUAUGUGUAGUUGUAGGAGUAGGUGUAGGUGUAGUUGUUGGUGUAGGUGUAAUUGUAGGUGUAGAUGUAGGAGUAGGUGUAGGUGUAGUUUUAGGCAUAGUUGUAGGAGUAGGCGUAGGUGUAGUUGUUGGUGUAGGUGUAGUUCUAGGCUUAGUUGUAGGAGUAGGUGUAGGUGUAGUUGUAGGUGUAGUUGCAGGAGUGGGCGUAGUUGUAGUUGUUGGUGUAGGCGUAGUUGUUGCUGUAGGUGUAGGUGUAGUUUUAGGCAUAGCUGUAGGAGUAGGUGUAGGUGUAGUUGUUGGUGUAGGUGUAUUUGUAGGUGUAGAUUUAGGAGUUGGUGUAGGUGUAGUUGUAGGUGUAGGUGUAGUUGCAGGAGUGGGCGUAGUUGUAGGUGUAGGCGUAGUUGUAGGCGUAGUUGUAGGCGUAGUUGUAGGUGUAGUUGUAGGAGUAGGCGUAGUUGUAGGUGUAGUUGUAGGCGUAGUUGUAGUUGUAGGUGUAGGUGUAGUUGUAGUUGUAGGUGUAGGUGUAGUUUUAGGCAUAGUUGUAGUUGUAGGUGUAGUUUUAGGUGUAGGUGUAGUUAUAGUUGUAGGUGUAGUUGUAGGUGUAGUUGUAGGUGUUGUUGUAGGACCAAAGAUGCAGAAGAAAACCCUAUACUUUAAUGGUUGUCGUAGGCCACUUCAGCACAACAGUUUGAUUUGAUUUGGGUGUGAACUAACUAACCGUGAAGUUGCUAUUUGAAGAAGGAAAGAAACAUGCCUUCAGACCUCUCUUGUUACCAUGGGGUCAAGGCUCCAGCAACUUGAGUGUUGAACCGUUGUCUGCAAGAGGGUGUGUGUGAGCAUGUGUGUGUGUGCGUUUGUGUGUGUGUGUGUGUGUGUGUGCGGCUCACUG
rnacentral:lncRNA from 1 species